GACGAACGCUGGCGGCGUGCCUAACACAUGCAAGUCGAACGGAAGUAAGUGCUUCGGUAUUUACUUUAGUGGCGAACGGGUGAGUAACGCGUGAGGAACCUGCCUUUCAGUGGGGGACAACAGUUGGAAACGACUGCUAAUACCGCAUGACGCUUCUUGGGGGCAUCCCUGAGAAGUCAAAGCUUUAUGUGCUGAAAGAUGGCCUCGCGUCUGAUUAGCUAGUUGGUGAGGUAACGGCCCACCAAGGCAACGAUCGGUAGCCGGACUGAGAGGUUGAACGGCCACAUUGGGACUGAGACACGGCCCAG
rnacentral:rRNA from 1 species